AGCGAACGCUGGCGGCAGGCCUAACACAUGCAAGUCGAACGCUGUAGCAAUACAGAGUGGCAGACGGGUGCGUAAUGCGUGGGAAACUUCCAUUUAGUACAGAAUAGCCCAGGGAAACUUGGAUUAAUACUGUAUACGCCCUACGGGGGAAAGAUUUAUCGCCAAAUGAUGUGCCCGCGUUGGAUUAGCUAGUUGGUGGGGUAAUGGCCUACCAAGGCGACGAUCCAUGGCUGGUCUGAGAGGACGAUCAGCCACACUGGGACUGAGACACGGCCCAGACUCCUACGGGAGGCAGCAGUGGGGAAUAUUGGACAAUGGGGGAAACCCUGAUCCAGCAAUGCCGCGUGAGUGAUGAAGGCCUUCGGGUUGUAAAGCUCUUUUACCUGUGAAGAUAAUGACUGUAGCAGGGGAAUAAGCUCCGGCUAACUUCGUGCCAGCCGCCGCAGUAA
rnacentral:rRNA from 1 species